CUCUGAGGGCCCGGGAAAGCGGGCCGGCCCCGCGGGCCCGGCGCAGGCGCCGCUCCAGGGCCGCUGGGCCUUUGCCCGGUGACCGGCGGGGCGCGGGAGGGCUUUGGUCUGUGACCGGCAGCUGCUAUGGCACCGAGCCCGCGUAGGUGUGCGAGGCGGGGCGGCUUUCCCUGCGCGGUACAUGGGUUCCCAGCUUGAGCUAAAAAACUGACCACUGUAUACUGAUGUUAAAUGUAUCAGAAGAUUGUUUGGAAACAAGAAACUCAGAGGACUGUAUAACAGCAGCAGUGUAGCAGAUCUCCUGUGUAUGUUUCAACCUAUUGGUCAGUGGCUGCUUAAUGCCAUCACUGCCUGAUGCUGAAGGUCUGGUGUCAUGUUCCAAGAGCAGUCAGCAGUGCAGACUGUAGAAAUGGGAGGGUGAAUUUGGGAAGUGAGGUUGACAGGAAGCUGAUACUGUGUGGAUAAAGGAAAAUAAGGAUCAAAUGAAGAAGAUCUGAUCUCUGAUUCUGCCCUGCUUUUCCCUUGAUGAGAUGAAAGUAGUCAAGACUACCUAACUAAAGGAACAGUGUUUUGUUAUCUGUUUUAAUCUGGGUUUGUGGAUUACUCUAACCCAAGCCACAAAAGACAGCAAAGAUAUAUUGCCUGAUAUAAAAUGACUAACAGUGACUCCUAUAUAUGUCACAGCAAUGUGAUUAUUUCCCUGUGUUUGCUGAUUCAUACAAUGCUACUCUACAGCACGGAGAUCUCAUACAGUACCCCAGCUGUGUUAGCCUAGUUUGCAGCAGUUUGCUGGCUAAACCUACUGAAUUCUCAUGCUAAUAAAUAGGGUUUGGCUGCAAAUUUGUUGUUUGCACUGCUCCUUAGCAAAGGUACUGAAGAUCAUAAUUUUGUGCAAACCUUAUUGUUGGCAGACACUUAAAAUAAUACUAAGAGCUGGUUUGUCAAAUUUAGUUGGGCUUCCAGAAAUACCUUUUCAUAUGGUGCAUCGAAUAGGCAUGGCCUCUAUGUCACCAGUGGGAUAUUCAGGAUGAUUUUGAUAAGGGCCUUAAAGAAAACUGUCUUCAAUAGACUCUUUUUUCUAAAGUGUAUCUUUGGGUUCACAGGGAACCCAGCUGUUUAUACUGGUGUCCAGAAACUGCUGCCAAGGUUUUGUUUGUCUAAUCUAAGAAAAAAGGAGCAUUAGGUCAAGUGCUUGUGUUACAGCACUGUAGAAAAAAUAUUUAUGAAGGCUUUAUGAAGGAGGUUUAAUCCACACUUUCUUUUUAAAAAAAUUGGAAAUGGAAGAUAGUUCAAAACUUUUCUAUAAACAUUGUAAGAAAACAUUAUAAACAUAUAAUAACAUACAUUUUUAAGAUAAAUUACUUCUUUCUCUCUAUUAUCCCAUGUCCUACAGUGGUAGGAUAAUAUCUAGGUUUGACUUCAGAAUCUUGUACUUUAUGAUGAUCUUGAUUCAGAAACUGUUUUUCAGCCAUAGGGAACUUUCUGACUGUGGUACAGCCUAAUGACAUAGACUAUCUCUUCAAAGUUGACUCCUGUAGCAGCAGAUGCAGUCUUGUGCAUCUUGACAGUGAGCGUCUGAAUCUGCAUCAGCUGAAAUUAUUUGCUGUAUAAUUUUUUUUAUACUGAAGCAUUCUUUCACCAUAUAAAUUCCAUACUGGCUUUUGUGUAAAGAGAUUGUCAUAUGAUGAUUUAGCCAUGUGCCCUGUUAGUAGAUUUUAAAGCAGGCUUAGGGCACAGAUAUUUCAGCACUUCCCAACCUGCAAUGUUGUGAUUAAACUGUCUGCCUGCAAUGUUGGUGGCUGUGGAAGAAGCAACAAAGGAAGCCUGUCAGUAAACAAACUUUAUUGCAGAAAUCUUAUC